GAUGAAGAACGUAGCGAAAUGCGAUAAGUAGUGUGAAUUGCAGAAUUCAGUGAAUCAUCGAAUCUUUGAACGCACAUUGCGCCCUUUGGUAUUCCAAAGGGCAUGCCUGUUCGAGCGUCAUUUGUACCCUCAAGCUUUGCUUGGUGUUGGGCGUCUUGUCUCUAGCUUUGCUGGAGACUCGCCUUAAAGUAAUUGGCAGCCGGCCUACUGGUUUCGGAGCGCAGCACAAGUCGCACUCUCUAUCAGCAAAGGUCUAGCAUCCAUUAAGCCUUUUUUUCAACUUUUGACCUCGGAUCAGGUAGGGAUACCCGCUGAACUUAAGCAUACAAUAAGCGGAGGA
rnacentral:misc_RNA from 1 species